GACGAACGCUGGCGGCGUGCCUAAUACAUGCAAGUUGAGCGCUGAAGGUUGGUACUUGUACCAACUGUAUGAGCAGCGAACGGGUGAGUAACGCGUGGGGAAUCUGCCUUUGAGCGUGGGACAACAUUUGGAAACGAAUGCUAAUACCGCAUAAUAACUUUAAACACAAGUUUUAAGUUUGAAAGAUGCACUUGCAUCACUCAAAGAUGAUCCCGCGUUGUAUUAGCUAGUUUGUGAGGUAAAGGCUCACCAAGGCGAUGAUACAUAGCCGACCUGGGAGGGGGAACGGGCAAAGUGGGAAUGAGAAAAGGCCCAAAACACCAAGGGAGGAAGCAGUAGGGAAACCUUGGCAAUGGACGAAAGUCUGAACGGGGAACGCCGGGGGAGUGAAGAAGGGUUUCGGGUCGUAAAAAUCUGUUGGUAGAGAAGAAAGUUAGGGAGAGUGGAAAGCUCAUAAAGUGACGGUAACUAACCAGAAAGAGACGGCUAACUACGUG
rnacentral:rRNA from 1 species